CACAGGAAGAGGAGAGAGCCCCAGGAGU
rnacentral:piRNA from 1 species